rnacentral:rRNA from 1 species
GACGAACGCUGGCGGCGUGCUUAACACAUGCAAGUCGAACGAUAAUGCCCAGCUUGCUGGGUGGAUUAGUGGCGAACGGGUGAGUAACACGUGAGUAACCUGCCCCUGACUCUGGGAUAAGCGUUGGAAACGACGUCUAAUACUGGAUAUGACUGCCGGCCGCAUGGUCUGGUGGUGGAAAGAUUUUUCGGUUGGGGAUGGACUCGCGGCCUAUCAGCUUGUUGGUGAGGUAAUGGCUCACCAAGGCGACGACGGGUAGCCGGCCUGAGAGGGGGACCGGCCACACUGGGACUGAGACACGGCCCAGACUCCUACGGGAGGCAGCAGUGGGGAAUAUUGCACAAUGGGCGAAAGCCUGAUGCAGCAACGCCGCGUGAGGGAUGACGGCCUUCGGGUUGUAAACCUCUUUUAGUAGGGAAGAAGCGAAAGUGACGGUACCUGCAGAAAAAGCACCGGCUAACUACGUGCCAGCAGCCGCCGCGG